GGAGCCGUGUGUCAUGGCCUCCUCCAUGUAAACAAAGCGGAGAAAAAUAUUGUGAAGAAAAUUGAGAACAGAGGAGCGUCUGAUGCCGGGCGCCGGGAGCCAGUGCUGCUUCAGACGUCGCCGGGGCAGGUGUCGGGCGUCCUCAGCUGACAUACUCUGUUCCUACAAUGUACAAUCGGACCAUGCUAGGUAUAAGAGGGAGAUUUCCAAGAAUUCUCCCUAAUAUAGGGAAAUACGGCCUCUCUGAGGAGGCCAUUGAAAGAUUUACGUAUAACACCUCUGAAAAGCAACCAUCAAAGAAAUUGUGGCAAACAUACUAAAUAUUAACCAAGAACAGCGGAGGUCUUUGACCAUCGUCAGAUAUUAAAACCAAUCAUUACCUUGAAGAACAUUAAAAAUCUGAACAUCUCAAAUUACGCCAUAAGAUCGUACCAUGAUGGGUCUUCGGGAGCGAAUCAGGCGGCGAAUCCUCCCGAACCUUUUUAAAUAUGGCCUCUCUGAGGCCAUUGAAAUAUUUACGUAAAACACCUCUGCAUAAGUUCCUGCCAUGUUUACCUAAACUCCCCACUUAGUCUGGCGUCAUCUCCUCCUCCUUAUUGGUUAGAUGAUGGAUCCAGUUACUGUUGUGUUAAAGGCCAGUUUGGUGCAUCAGUGGUCGUCAGCACCUCCGUAUUUAUUGAGAGCAGCAGCAUGGAAGCACAGCACAGGGCAGUGUAGAGGCCAGCAAGAACUUAAAAAAUUUUGGAUUGGCAGCUUUAGAAAACUGUUGCACUGGGUAUUCUUUCCAAAUGUCAAAAAAGAACCCAAUGAGGCCAUGAAUGUUAACACUAAACGCACGUUACCAAAUUUAUUCGAAAAGGAAAUGGCGUAAGACUUAUCAUUCAAAAAGGAAAUUGUGCAAGAGCUAUCAAUCCAGCAGGUAAUACAGCAUAUUUCGUCCGGACGUAACCAUGGGGAUGACUCGGCCAAUUCCCACCAAAACCCCAGUCAGGGUAGUGGUGGCCGAAGGGAAGUCGAGGCUGUUGGACGAGGGGCGUUGGUCGUUAUGGAAGGUAGCGACAGAACGGGCAAGUCGACACAGGCCAAGAUUCUCGUCGAGUCUCUAAACAAGCUUGGAAAACCGACAGUCUUCAUGCGGGUCCCAGAUCUGCCUGGGAAGAAGUGGCAGUCCCUAAAAGAGCAUUACGUAAAGCACAUUGUUCGAAAGAUUGGUGCAUACGAGAAAGAUAAAACUAUAAAAUCAAGCAUGUUGUUUGUGUAAGUACAGAACAGUACAUUGUGUUAACAGUACUGUACGUGGGGAGGCAAAAUGGGGGAGACAGUUUUCACAAUGAUUGCUAACUGUUCAUCAGUGAAGUAGACCUAUGGCUUUGAACUUAAAUCUAUAAGCUUCAUUGGUAUGUGUACCUUGGAUACCUUUUUGUCAGGCUACAGACAUUUACCAAUAGUUGCUGGGAGUGUAAACAUACAACCACAAAUUAAGAAAUUCUUAUUUGUUCCUGCUCAAACAAAUUGUUUUAAGACAGUCUUUUAUCUUAAAAAUUUAAAAAAAUCCUCAUAUCAGUUGUCCUGGAUUUUAUGCCUUCCCUUUUCGUGAAGGUUUCACACUAGUACACGUUGACCAACGUCCAAUGCUUUCCUCGAGCUUUCUUAUCAUACAGAAGCUUCCUACUCACCCUUAUUCUCCAAAUUAUCGUUUGCAACUCUCCAGGCAUUCUCUAAUACGUCUGUGUAGGGUCACCCAAUCGUCACACGAGUCCUCCUCUGCUUGUGCUAACAACAUAUCUAUUAUAAGCUUGGGAUCAGUACCGAAGAUCGAAGUGUGAGGGGAGAACCCAGUGGUCGGGUUAGGAGUCUUAUUAUAGAUGGCGGUUACCAUUCCAAAAUGCUUGCCCAAUGUUUCUUUUGCUUGAUUGACAAAGUUCGCAACAAUUGGUGCAUUGUGCGGUGAAACCUCUCGCACUGUCCAUUUCCACAGCACCUCUGCAUAAUGAAUCUAGUGGUGCAUUCGAUGCCCUGAUGACCCCAUGUCGUCAUGCAAAAGUUUCAUUACCUUCCCCUUCAAGGUAGUAGGCAAAACUAGUUGUUUUAGCUCCUUCUGGGCUCUACACGGCAUUGCUCUUUUAGUUGAUACAGUAUGUAACAGCACCUUUGCUUUAUAUAAAUAUUCACCCAAAUUAAUAGCACCAAGUUAUUCAACGACCACACACUUCUCUGGGGUUGGUGACCCCCUUCCUUUCUCUUUUGCCUAAUGGCGUAGUUUGUGAUCUUCAGUUGGUGAUCUGAAAAUAAAAAAACAUUAUUAACAACCAUGAAUGAAAGCAA